UGUGCGAGUCAUUGAGAUCGUUCGAAACUGAAAGCGUAACGAAAGUGAANGCGCCGCCGCCGCUCGCGGCGGCGGCACCUCCUANGGANGAUGGCGGGCGAUUUCUCGUCGCNCGCUCGCACUCNCUAGGCGUCUCGUUCGCAAUCCGUCUAUGCANGCNCGCUCAUAGCAUAAAUGCUGGGACCCGAAAUAUGGUGAACUAUNCCUGG
rnacentral:rRNA from 1 species